UACGGAGGAUCCAAGCGUUAUCCGGAUUUAUUGGGUUUAAAGGGUGCGUAGGUGGCUUAUUAAGUCAGGGGUGAAAGACGGUAGCUUAACUAUCGCAGUGCCCUUGAUACUGAUGAGCUUGAAUGAACUAGAGGUAGGCGGAAUGUGACAAGUAGCGGUGAAAUGCAUAGAUAUGUCACAGAACACCAAUUGCGAAGGCAGCUUACUAUGGUUAGAUUGACACUGAGGCACGAAAGCGUGGGGAUCAAACAGG
rnacentral:rRNA from 1 species